GGUACGUUUACACGCUUGCCAAGCCUUCGCAAGCGGCAAACAGCUCCAAGCCUCCACAAAUCUCGUUUGGCGUUUGAAAGGAGUUUACACGCUUGGGAACGCGUCAGUCUGCAAGAUAGAUCCAAGCAUGGCGGACACCGAACUUGUAACGGCUAUUGCAUUUGGUUUAUCGUACUUUUAUUUAAAAUGCAAGCAAAGUGAAACAAAAAAAAGAAAAACUCGACGACAACGAAGAUGGUGGAUGAAAAAGAUUCAUCGAAAUCGUACCAGACAAUUUAUAGAAGAGAAAUUUAAUGAACUUUUAUAUGAACCUUCUGGCGAGUUUGAUAACUUCUGCCGAAUGAGCUAUACCGAUUUUGAAUUUUUACUGCAGAAAAUUUCACCAAUGAUAUCCAAGCAAGAUACAGACUUCAGAGAUGCUAUACCGGCCAAAUUUCGUCUUGCCAUUACGCUACGAUUUUUAGCAUCUGGUGAUUCUUACAAAAGCCUUCACUACAUGUUUAAAGUAUCUGUCUCUAUGAUAUCAAUAACCAUUCGUGAAGUUUGCCGAUCUCUUAAUGAAAUUCUAAAGGAUCUAGUUAAGAUGCCCACCACAGCAGAAGGAUGGCUUAAUAUUGAAGAAGGAUUCAGGACCAAAUUUCCACAUUGCAUAGGGUCAUUGGAUGGCAAGCAUGUAGUCAUUGAAAGCCCAACUCAUAGUGGAACAGAAUAUUUCAAUUAUAAAAAAACUUUUAGCAUUGUCCUUUUGGCGUUAGUGGAUAGCAAAUACAAAUUUGUAUUUGCAGACAUCGGGAGUCAAGGAAGAAUAAGUGACGGUGGCGUGUUUAAUAAUUGUUUACUAUGGAAAAGAAUAUGUAGGAACGAGAUAGAUUUUCCACCGCCAUGUCCACUUCCAGGAUCGAAUAUUAAUAUUCCAUACGUGUUUUUAGCUGACGGUGCUUUUGCAUUGAGUCAACACGUAAUGAAGCCCUACCCUGGAAACCAUGAAGUAGGCUCACCAAAAAGGCUAUUUAACCAAAACUUAUCUAAAUCCCGAGUUGUAGUUGAAAAUACGUUUGGAAUUUUAACCUCGGUUUUUAGAAUAUUCAGACGUCCUAUCGAUUUAGAACCACAAACUGUGACAGAAUUUACGAUGACUUGUGUAUUACUACAUAACUUUUUGAGAACAAGUAAAAGUUCUUCAAAUCGAUAUAUUCCUCAGGGUUCGUUAGACGUAUAUGACAGUAGUGGAAAUAUGGUUACACCUGGUUCAUGGCGCAGAGAUAACGACGGAUAUAAUGCAUUGCAAACAUUACCACAAAUACCACGAAGAUCUCCGCUGAAUGCCAAAGAAGUCAGAGAAGAAUUUACUUCAUAUUUUAAUAGGAUUGGAUAAGUUGAUAAAAAUGUAUAAAUAAAUUUAUAAUAAGUAA